UUGUAAGUGUGUAAGGGCGUUCGGUGGAUGCCUUGGUACCAGGAGCCGAUGAAGGACGUGGGAGGCUGCGAUAAGCCUCGGGGAGCUGUCAACCGAGCUGUGAUCCGAGGGUGUCCGAAUGGGGAAACCCAGCACGAGUGAUGUCGUGUUACCCACCGUUGAAUGUAUAGGCGGUGUGGAGGGAACGUGGGGAAGUGAAACAUCUCAGUACCCAUAGGAAGAGAAAACAAUUGUGAUUCCGUGAGUAGUGGCGAGCGAAAGCGGAUUAGGCUAAACCAUGCGCAUGUGAUACUCGGCAGGGGUUGUGCGUGUGGGGUCGUGGGGUCGUUCUGUCUGGUGCUGCCGUGCUGGAGGCGAGUGAGAAAGCUGCAUGCUAGGCGAAGUGGCCUGGAAUGGUCUGCCGUAGACGGUGAGAGUCCGGUAGUCGAAAGUGUGUGGUCUCGUUUGGAGCGUGUCCCCAAGUAGCAGCGGGCCCGUGAAAUCUGCUGUGAAUCUGCCGGGACCACCCGGUAAGCCUGAAUACUUCCUGGUGACCGAUAGCGGACAAGUACCGUGAGGGAAAGGUGAAAAGUACCCCGGGAGGGGAGUGAAAUAGUACCUGAAACCGGACGCUUACAAUCCGUCAGAGCCUGCGCCCUUCGGGGGUGGGUGAUGGCGUGCCUUUUGAAGAAUGAGCCUGCGAGUCAGUGCUCAGUGGCAAGGUUAACCCGUGUGGGGUAGCCGUAGCGAAAGCGAGUCUGAAUAGGGCGUUUGAGUCGCUGGGUCUGGACCCGAAGCGGAGUGAUCUACCCAUGGCCAGGGUGAAGCGACGGUAAGACGUCGUGGAGGCCCGAACCCACUUCAGUUGAAAAUGGAGGGGAUGAGCUGUGGGUAGGGGUGAAAGGCCAAUCAAACUCCGUGAUAGCUGGUUCUCCCCGAAAUGCAUUUAGGUGCAGCGUCCCGUGUUUCUUGCCGGAGGUAGAGCUACUGGAUGGCCGAUGGGCCCUACUAGGUUACUGACGUCAGCCAAACUCCGAAUGCCGGUAAGUGAGAGCGGGGCAGUGAGACUGCGGGCGAUAAGGUUCGUAGUCGAGAGGGAAACAGCCCAGAUCGCCGGCUAAGGCCCCUAAGCGUGUACUAAGUGGAAAAGGAUGUGGGAUCGCGAAGACAACCAGGAGGUUGGCUUAGAAGCAGCCACCCUUGAAAGAGUGCGUAAUAGCUCACUGGUCAAGUGGUCCUGCGCCGACAAUGUAGCGGGGCUCAAGUACACCGCCGAAGCCGCGGCACUCACACAAUACAUCGGCUUUUCCCUGCGGGGGAUUGUCUAGUGGUGUGGGUGGGUAGGGGAGCGUCCUGCAUCCGUGGAAGCAGCGGAGUGAUCCAGCUGUGGAGGGUGUGGGAGUGAGAAUGCAGGCAUGAGUAGCGAAAGCAGAGUGAGAAACUCUGCCGCCGAAUGACCAAGGGUUCCUGGGCCAGGUUAAUCCGCCCAGGGUGAGUCGGGACCUAAGGCGAGGCCGACAGGCGUAGUCGAUGGACAACGGGUUGAUAUUCCCGUACCCGUGUAUCCGCGCCCAGUGGCGAAUCAAUUGUACUAACCAUCCAAAUCCCUAUGGACCGCCUUCGGGUGGCCGGCGGGUGCUGCAUGGGACCUCGGUUGUAGUAGUCAAGCGAUGGGGUGACGCAGGAAGGUAGUGGAGCCAGUCGAUGGUAGUGCUGGUGUAAGCCCGUAGGGAGGGACAUAGGCAAAUCCGUGUCCCACAUAUCCUGAGAGGUGAUGCGUAGCCGUUGAGGCGAAAUCCAUGAUCCUAUGCUGCCGAGAAAAGCCUCUAGCGAGCUGGUACACGGCCCGUACCCCAAACCGACACAGGUGGUCAGGUAGAGAAUACUAAGGCGAUCGAGAGAACUGUGGUUAAGGAACUCGGCAAAAUGCCCCCGUAACUUCGGGAGAAGGGGGACCAGCCCUGGUGACGAAACUUGCUUUCCGAGCUGGGGGUGGUCGCAGAGACCAGAGAGAAGCGACUGUUUACUAAAAACACAGGUCCGUGCGAAGUCGUAAGACGAUGUAUACGGACUGACGCCUGCCCGGUGCUGGAAGGUUAAGAGGACCGGUCAGCCACUUCGGUGGCGAAGCUGA
rnacentral:rRNA from 1 species